rnacentral:rRNA from 1 species
GAAAAGCACUCUGAAGAGAGAGUCAAAAGACCGUGAAACCGCUCAGAGUAUAAGCCAAUGGAGCUUGGAAGGCUUCCGCAGAGACAGGCAUCACACGUGGUGUUCUGACAGACCAGGGCGCGGUUCGUCAGGUGGAGCAUUGAGUUUGCUGGCCAAUCGUCGUGCGGGGGUGCGGUUUGGGGGUCUUAGGCUUCGGCCGAAGGGCUCCUGGCCGUCCCCUUUUGAAUGAACGUUCAGAGCUUCUGUGUCUAAUGCGGUAUAUGCCCACCACGGCACGUUGUGAGGUCACCCACAGGCUCAAACUGCCGAUCGCGCAUCCAGGACGAUGGCAACGAUGCGUAGCUCUUGCUUGUUUAUCGAGCAAUCACGCGUGUCUAGUCCUGGGUCGGGCGGCGACCGAGAUAAACCUGGUAUGAUCCUCGAGCGACGAGCUGCUUUCUGGCCAGACCGACGUCCAGGCGCUUCCACUGUGCCGGAAGCGUCGAUCCCAGGCGGUGUGAACCCAGCUGCAUUCUGCAAGGUCUCUCAGCCGGGCGUUGGUCUGAGUGGUGUUAAGUCCAGCACCAUCGGUCACGUCUCGAAACACGGGCCAAGGAGUAUAGCAUGUGUGCAAGUCUAAGGGUCUCACAAAACCCGAAGGCGAAGUGAAAGCAAGACUGUGGCGGGGGAGCUACGGCGAACCCGCCGGCCUGUGGCGCAUUGCGUCGCCUGGCUUUUAGCAGAGCUGAUCCUGUUUUCACGGUUAAUUCUUGGUGCAGGCGCAAGCUCCGGGCUCACGUACAACACUGGUCACCUCGUGUGGCUGUGUUGUGAGCACCGUGGAGCAUGCAUGCUAUGACCCGAAAGAUAGUGAACUAUGCCUGGCGAGGGCGAAGCCCCAGGAAACUGGGGUGGAGGCCCGUAGCCGUUGUGACGUGCAAAUCCAUGGUAUCAGCUGGGCAUAGGGGCGAAAGACCAAUCGAACUAUCUAGUAGCU